GACGAACGCUGGCGGCGUGCUUAACACAUGCAAGUCGAACGGAAAGGCCCUGCUUUGGUGCGGUGCUCGAGUUGCGAACGGGUGAGUAACACGUGAGUAACCUGUCCUUGCCUUUGGGAUAUCCUCAUGACACUGGGUGUCAUCGCGCAUAGGAGCUCCCGCUGCUUGGUGGGGGUUGGUUAGUUUCGGCGGUUGGGGAUGGACUCGCGGCGUAUCAGCUUGUUGCUGGGGUAGUGGAUUACCAAGGCUAUGAAGGGUAGCAGGCCUGAGAGGGUGACCGGACACAUUAGGACUGAGAUAAGGCACAGACUCCUACGGUAGGCAGCAGUGGAGAAUAGUGUACAAUGGGCGGAAGCCUGAUGCAGCAACGCAGCGUGGGGGAUGACGGCAUUCGGGUAGGGAAGCGCUGUCGCCUGUGACGAGGCGUGAGUGACGGUAACGGGUAAAGAAGCACCGGCUAACUACGUG
rnacentral:rRNA from 1 species